GUGUACGUUGUUUUUAGGGGAAUCAAAACUGGGAUAUAUAAUUCGUGGGAGGAAUGUGCUCCACUUGUUAUAGGUGUGAGUAAAAAUAUCUACAAAGCUUAUGAUACCAUGGAGGAGGCAGCUGAUGCGUACAAUGGUUUUAUUCAAUCGAAAGGUAAGGAAGCAGAUUGCAUUUCCAAUCCAUUUUAUUAUGAUCUUUCAAGAAAAUAACCCGGGGUGGAAGACAUAUUAAAGGAUGAUAUGACAACAACUACUGGUCCAUCUGAUGAUUUUGACAAACUUAUUAUUGGAUUUAUUUUUGGGAUUGUAUUUGCUAGUAUGCACUUGUCUAAGUAAUGUGUUGUUUUGGGGUGGAUUUCUGUUUAACAAACAAUUAUCUCU
rnacentral:misc_RNA from 1 species